rnacentral:misc_RNA from 1 species
UAUAAAUUGUCAUGCUGAAUGCUACUUCCAACUGGUGGGGGUGGGAUGAAUUCUACAAUGGAUGACAUGAACUUAAUUCAUCAGGCUCAGAGGCAUCAUCUUGUAGUGAGAGAGAUAGGAGAAGAGAUUGAUUUGGAAAUAGGACCUGGGGAUGAUGACCCUUCAUUUAGUAAUAAUACUUUGAUCAAUGUUCCACCACAAGAAUCUACAGCUGAAGACCAUGACGAGAGCAAGCAGAUGAUGAUUCAUCAGGCUUCCGGUGGGAAUCAGGACUUGUUGAAGACCCAACCAGCGAAAAAGAAAAAGAAGGUUGUUAAAAGAUGGAGAGAGGAGUGGGCAGAUACGUAUAAAUGGGCAUAUGUUGAUGUGAAAGAUGGCACAGCAAGGAUAUUUUGCUCUGUUUGCAGAGAAUAUGGUAGGAAGCAUAGGAGGAAUCCAUAUGGAAAUGAAGGCAGCCGAAACAUGCAGAUGAGUGCUCUGGAGGAGCAUAAUAAUAGUUUACUUCACAAAGAAGCUCUUCGUCUCCAAAUGGCAUCCAAAGAUAAGAUUGUUGUUGAUAAACCUUUAUAUGUUAAAGCUCUUAUGUCAAAAACGGCUGGAUCGAUUAUUGAAGCUGCACUGAAAAGGGAUCCUCAUGAACUAGAAUUCAUACAGUAUGUUCAAGAAGCGGUUCAUGCUUUAGAAAGAGUCAUUUCAAAGAACUCAAGUUAUGUAAGCACCAUGGAGCGGUUAUUAGAACCUGAGCGCACAAUUGUUUUUCGCGUGCCGUGGGUUGAUGAUAGGGGCGAGACGCAUGUGAACCGAGGGUUUCGGGUUCAUUUUAAUCAGACUCUUGGUCCAUGCAGGGGUGGUCUCCGGUUCCAUCCGUCAAUGAACUUGAGUAUUGCCAAAUUUCUUAGCUUUGGACAGACUUUGAAAAAUGCUUUGUCGCCUUACCGACUUGGGGGUUCUUCAGGUGGAAGUGAUUUUGAUCCUAAAAGCAAAAGUGAUGGUGAGGUCAUGCGAUUUUGUCAGAGUUUUAUGAAUGAACUGUAUCGUUAUUUGGGUCCUGAAAAGGAUCUUCCUUCGGAGGAGAUGGGUGUUGGUACUCGA